rnacentral:lncRNA from 1 species
CACCACUCAGAGGAGCACAGCAGGAUUAGCCCCACACAGGUGAAAAGAAAGUGAAUGGUUCUUUCUGUGAGCAGAUUUUCUUUCUAAAACAAUGCCUCCUGCAGCUAAAGGAGGAAAAGAGGAAACCAACAAUACCAACAGCUAGGGGAAGAGAUAGGUGAGGUCUCUGUUUUCUGAUGAGGAAGCUAAGCCUUGGAAGCCAGGCUUCAAACCUAGCGGGGGCAUAAUGAUCUUUCCAGUGUACAUUUUUGCUUUUGCAAAUUAGAAGAGUUAUUAAGUUUAUGAGUCAGUAUCAUGAAGAUCAAGAUGAUAUCUAAAAGGUUACUGGCAUGCAGUUUCCAUAAUAUUGCUAGAAGACAAGACUGAAUCAUAGCCUCCCAGGAACAGAAGAAACCUCAAAAGUUAUCGAGGCUGUUGUUUGGCAGCAACUGGAGCUACGUCCAAGCUGAUACUUCUAAAGCUGCUGUGCUCAUAACUAGGGAAGCAGAAGAGGAGAUCGUCCUCCUGCCCUGGCAACCAGGGAUGAUGGCACGUGCCUAGGCUCAAGCAUGGCAAUUCUCCCAUCCAGAACUUGGAAUCUUCGGGGUAUGUCACAAAGACCCAGGGUCAGUUUGCAAAUUAUUCCCAGAAGUUGUGGCAGCAUCAAGAGUCAGGCAGGGGCAGCAGCCCACGUUCAGCUGGAAUUCUGUGGCUUAACCCAGGGGUUUUCUAUGUGUCAUGAGAGAUAACACAACACUCUCACCAACGAAGUUGAAUAAAUUAUAUUUAGGACUCACAAGCUGAUCAUGAUUCUUGGCUAUGCAAACCUGAGGCUGAUGCAUCCUCCAGCAGCUGACCACGGACAUGUGCAGCAUCACAGUGACAGAUGGCAUUUCAACCACUUGGUUUACACCUUCCUCCACUGUCACCACCAUUCUGACAGAAAUGAGUUCCAUUUGCUCCAUUUUACAUAAGGGCAAAAGGCAGCAUUGACUCACCAAGUUUACACAGUUAGGGAAAAGAGCAACCAGGUCAGGAUCAGAUACAACAAAGAAGUGAUUGCAGAUGUUAAAUGGAACAUAGCUCUGGUCGUUUGAUAAAUAUUCAGUAAUUUCUUCAGUUUGUUAAGAAAAAUUAUCCAAAAUUUACAAUUACAGAGGAAGCAAAAUUUUACCUGUACCCUAUUUUUUUUUUUCUGGGGCUAAGAAUUAAAUUGACUUAAGACAGACAUAAGACAGAUCAACAGCAGAAGAACAAAUUUACUUAAUACAAGUUUUACAUGGCAGGAGAGACUACAUAAGGAAAUGCAGACCCAAAGGCACAGUUAGAUUGAACACUUACAUACAGAAUUAAAGAGUCAUGAAUUGUGAAAAUGUCACAAGGCCAAGAAGCUUGGGCUGAGUGGUUAAUUGAGUGAAAAAGUGGCUCGGAAGGUAUCUCCGCCCUAUGAAGGCCUUGAUGGGGAGCAACUCAGGCCUUGAAGGUAAAUGUCCUGUCCCACAGGUGCCAUGAGCUCCGGGAAGUAGAGACGUGAUCAGACUCCCCUGCUACAGCCUUGUACUUGUCACCGAAGGGAGAUGUGCAGGUGCAAGCCCGACCAAGGGACACCUCCGUGGCCAUGACAGCUUUUCUUCUUAAAAGAAAAAACCGGACCGUGGGUUCAGAAAUCCAAAUCCAUUUGUUUAUACUCGAUUCAUACCAAAGACUACAAAAUAUACUUGUUAAUCUAUAUUUAAUAUAGCUACUUAAUACAUUUAGUCAUCUCAUUUUUAAUAUUUUUUAUUAUUCAUUUUAAUCUCUUUUCUUAUUUACUUAACAGCAAGCUUAUCCUUAAAGAUCAUCUCAUUUUUAAAUUUUCAUUCUAUACUUCAGAUAUAGUUUCAAAUUAUCUUUUUUAAUUGAAAAUCGCAAUUUGAGAACUACGGAAAGGUAUCAUUGAACCAGAAACUCCUGAACCUGAGUAUAGCUGAGAAUGCCUGAAUGUAGCUGGGUGUACCUGAGUUUACCUUAGUUUACCUGAGUCAACCUGUGUUCCUGCACAGACCAUAUAAAUUUUCUCCCAGAUAAGAAUGAAGAUGCGGCUAACAGACAUAACCUGUGAGGGGCAGCAGUGUCAGCCCUGGUCUUUCCAUUAGCUGCAAAGGAAGUCUGAAGCAGGCUAGACUGUGCCAGAACGAACCGUUUCAGAAACUGCUCAGGCCUGAGUGUGAAAUGGGCAUCGGAUGUAAACAGAACCAUGACACAGACUUAGGAAUGUUUACUAAAUGGCAUCUCACCCCCGUAAUAGAGAUGGAGGCAGCCUUGAACCCCAAACCUCCCAGGAGGUGGAAAGAUCAGGUAGGAAGGGGAAGGAAGAUACCAAAGUCUUUAGCAAGGUGACUCUUCCGCAUUACAAAUGCAGUUUCAGAAUUCAUAUUCCCGCUGCAAGGGAAAGAGUAGGACGCGGACAGAGAGAUUGUGUGUAUUUCAUCCUGGCUACCUUAGGAAUGGCUUCUGGAACAUGUUUUAUGCUCUAAUGAGUCGUGUUAGGCUUCUCACAUGGCACCAAAUAGAAUUUGUCAGUUUGCUACUGAUGUAUUAGCAAAUUCUGAAUUCGCCCCCACCCCCUCACACUACUGUUUUUAGGACUUUUAUUUUCAGAUGCUUUAGUAAUGAUAAAAGAUGAAACAUGCUUAAUACUAUGAAGAAUCAGUUACAUUAACAAACUCUCACAUCCCUGUGUUUGGAAACGUAACUCAGCAUAGGGGCACAGUCUGUCAGUAAGACCCAGGUUAACCCUCUUUCUCCCUUCCCUUGUUAGCUGCACAAUCAUCUGUUGAAAGCCUCUUGUAGUCUCUGCCUCAGUUCUCCGGUGCUAAAUGGUUGUUCUUCUCAGAAGAACAUAAUAAAAAUUAAGCAAGACAAAAAUAGAACAGUUUCAAUGCGAAAUCAUUUAGUUAGAAAAAUAUACCUAAUUUUUCUGCUUAUAUUUGCAAAGAAAUCCUGCAAUAAAUAUUUUGAAAGGAAUGAAGAUGAGUCCAAUAAAUUUAUAUUUUAUUUUUAUAAUGGACUUUAGAAUAUAGAGGGACUCAGUUAUGUUAGUAAAUGCAAUACUUUGCAAAACACUUUGCAAAUGUGAAGAACUUUAGUCCAACUAUUUAUACGUCAUAUCACUUUUCUAUUGCUGCAUUAAAAAGCUCCAAACCUAGGAACUUGAAAUAACAAACACUUUGUUUCACAUAGUUACUAAGGUUCAAGAAUCUAGGAAUGGGGUGGCUGCAUGGUUCCGGCUCAGGAUGUCUCACUAAGUUGCAGCUGAACUGUCAUCAGCGGCUGUAGUCUCUGAAAACUUAGCUUCUGGGGCUGGAGGCCCCAUUUCCAAGUUCAGUCAUGUAGCUGCUGGCAGGAGGCUUCUGUUCCUUCCUAUGUGGGACGCUCCAUGAAACUGGUCACAACAUGGCUUCCUCCAGAGUGAAACUGAUUACAACAUGGCUUCCCCCACCCCCAGAAUGAAACUGAUCACACAACAUGGCUUCUCCCCAGAAUGAAACUGAUCGUAACAUGGCUUCCCUGAGGGCAAAUAUCUACAUGAGACAAGGAGCAAGUGUGAUGAAAUCAAAAUAUUUUAUAAUCUAAUCUUGGAAGUAACAUCUCAUUACUUCUCUGUAUUCUACUGAUCAAACAGACCAGCAACCCUGAGCCAGUAUGGAUUUCGUCACACUACACAAAGAUAUGAAUCCCAGGGGGCAGGGACCAUCUUGGAGGCUUGGCUACCACAGAAAACAAGUUAAACAGAUGAUCCUUUUUAAAAUCCUUGUCCUGUGGCUUUUAACAUACUCAUAUUAAGAUUAAUAAGCCUAUUUUACUAGUAGGGUCUCCAUUUAGCCAUAGAAUCAGAGCCAUCAACCUGGGACAAAAAGUAAGAUUUUAUCAACUAGUAUAAAAAUAUACUAAACUACUCAACUGAGGCACUAAGGUAUCCAAUAUUGAAAUUCGUUGUGAGACAAGCAUCAAUUUUUCAAAAGAAAUAUCUGAAAAGUGGUUAGACAAGUCUUAGGCUUUGCACCCAAGGGCUAUUCCCACAUACCAGAAGUAUAAAAAGGUCAAGAGAGAGGGAAAUCAGAAAGAAUGUGUGAGGGGAGUUGGUUUGGAAGGGGUAAUUGAUUGCUAUGAGUUCUAUCUAAAGGUGACGAGUGAGAGUAGCUUUAAUUGAAUUGUUUGGAGGGCUUCAAAUGUGUUCUUUGUGGCUGAGGCUGCAGAAUGGAUGGACAUCUGACUCUGUCCAGGAAAUCUGGAAGUUAGGAGAGAUGUGUUGCUGAGCUCAUUGACACUCUGUAAAGAAGAGUCACUGGCUUGAUAAAAUCAUGUCAUUUGCAGCAACAUGGAUGAAACUGGAGGACAUUAUGUCAAAUGAAAUUAGACAAGCACAGAAAGACAAAUAUUGCAUGUUCUCACUCACAUGUAGGAGCUAAAAAAUAUUGAUCUCACGGAGGUAGAGAAUGGAAUCAUAGAUACCAGAGGGCAGAAAGGGUAUGUGGUGGGGAGAAGGGGGUUGGAUAAAAAUAAGCUGGUUAAUCAGUACAAACAUAUAGUUAGAUAGAAGGAAUAGGUUUUAAUGUUUGACAGCAGACUACGGUGACUAUAGUUAACAUGAAUAUAUUGUAUAUUUCAAAAUAAUUGAAAGAGAGGACUUAAAAUGUUCCCAACACAAAGAAAUGAUAAAUAUUCCAGGUGAUGGAUAUUCUAAAUACCUUGAUGUGAUCAUUACACAUUCUAUGCAUGUAACAAAAUAUCACAUGUACCCUGUAAAUAUGUACAAAUAUGAUGUAUCAAUAAAUAAAAAUUUAAAAAUAUAUUUCUUAAAUUAACUUUAUCUGAAAGACAUUCUACAUACUGUACUCAGUCAAUUGGAUGUCAUCAUUUCAUUCCAGGAUCCUCUGCUAAUUCCUGAGUUUACUGAUUGGGAUCUCUGCACUAAUUUGAAAUGAUUUCCUAACAUGCUCCUGCCCGGGAUGAUUGGAAAGGUUAACUACUAUCUGACUGUUAAGCACCCUAUAAAUAAAAACAGCAUGAGUAAUACUAGCUAUAUAGUAGAAGAUUAGUAACUGUGACCUUUUUAGCAUAAAAAAGAUACUUUAUAUUUUAAAUGCCUUUUACCCCAGUGGGAAAUACACAGAGGUGGUGUUGUGGGUUUUUAAAGGGUUGUAAUAGGUAGCAGAGUAAGAGCAUAGUUAUGAUAAAUAAUAGCUGUCAACUGAAGCAUUCAUGUAAAAUUUAUGAUGUAGUCAAGUAACAAUGACCCACUUUUCAUCUCUAUCACAUUCAGCUGGAAACAAUGAAGAAUCAGUCUUUUGAGCUUUUGCAUGUAUUCUUUGAUUUUUUUUAAAGAC